GAUCCUGGCUCAGGAUGAACGCUAGCUACAGGCUUAACACAUGCAAGUCGAGGGGCAGCAUGGUCUUAGCUUGCUAAGACUGAUGGCGACCGGCGCACGGGUGAGUAACACGUAUCCAACCUGCCGUCUACUCUUGGACAGCCUUCUGAAAGGAAGAUUAAUACAAGAUGGCAUCAUGAGUCCGCAUGUUCACGUGAUUAAAGGUAUUCCGGUAGACGAUGGGGAG
rnacentral:rRNA from 1 species